UCGAGGUAUUUCCUGUCGACCAAAUGCACAUCAAAAAUGAGUUCUGUCGAAGUAAUAAUCAGACUAGUGAUUUUCUAAGUAAAGUCGAGUUCAGAGUGACAGCCGUAGUCAUCAGUAAUAAUAAGUAAAUUGUAAGUAAUAGUAUAUCAAGCAGCAGUUUAGCAUUUAAAAAGCCCUUAACAACGUCAAAAAAUUAUCAUUUAGAACUCAAAAAGGUUUCGAUCAAUUUUCCUCAUUGUAUAUUAUGUGAUACUUACCUGUUUAGUGUGUAUCAGUAAAAUGAAAUAAUAAGUAAAAAAAGAAUACGUAUUUGUUUUCGAAAUGCACGGGUUUUGUGGGACAGAUUUGAAUAUAUAAAGCUUUAGUGCAUACUGCAAAUCAUCACAGUGCUCUGCAAGUAUUCCACAAGUCAAAAUGAAAUUCUUCGCAUUCGUCGCUCUGCUGUUGUGUGCGGUCAUGGCCUUCGCCAGUGCCGGCGUGGCUCCGCAACUGCCUGACGUAGCGAACCCCGAAGCUCCCAGGCUGGUCCGCAGCCCCGGCUACUAUCACAAGAAGGAGGAACAUCAUCAUCAUCACCACUAUGGCGGCUACGGAUACGGUUACCACGGAUAAACUUAAUUAACUCAAUGAGUUUGUUCUUACAACAUUGUAGUUACCAUUUUCAGUGAUAUACUAUGUAAUUUUUGUGUAUUAAAAAUAUUUAUGUUUUUACUUAUUAGA